GACGAACGCUGGCGGCGUGCUUAACACAUGCAAGUCGAACGGAAAGGCCCUGCUUUCGUGGGGUGCUCGAGUGGCGAACGGGUGUGUAACACGUGAGUAACCUGCCCUUGACUUUGGGAUAACUUCAGGAAACUGGGGCUAAUACCGGAUAGGAGCUCCUGCUGCAUGGUGGGGGUUGGAAAGUUUCGGCGGUUGGGGAUGGACUCGCGGUUUAUCAGCUUGUUGGUGGGGUAGUGGCUUACCAAGGCUUUGACGGGUAGCCGGCCUGGGAGGGUGACCGGCCACAUUGGAACUGAGGUACGGCCCAGACUCCUACGGGAGGCAGCAGUGGGAAAUAUUGCACAAUGGUGGGAAGCGUGAUGCAGCAACGCCGCGUGCGGAAUGACGGCCUUCGGGUUGUAAACCGCUUUCACCUGUAACGAAGCUUGAGUGACGGUAAUGAGUAAAGAAGCACCGGCUAACUACGUG
rnacentral:rRNA from 1 species